rnacentral:rRNA from 1 species
CCUACGGGAGGCAGCAGUGGGGAAUAUUGGUCAAUGGACGAGAGUCUGAACCAGCCACGUAGCGUGAAGGAUGACUGCCCUAUGGGUUUUAAACUUCUUUUAUAUGGGAAUAAAAUGUUCCACGUGUGGGAGUUUGUAUGUACCAUAUGAAUAACGAUCGGCUAACUCCGUGCCAGCAGCCGCGGUCAUACGGAGGAUCCGAGCGUUAUCCGGAUUGAGUGGGUUUAAAGGGAGCGUAGGUGGAUUGUUCAGUCAGUUGUGAAAGUUUGCGGCUCAACCGUAAAAUUGCAGUUGAAACUGGCAGUCUUGAGUACAGUAGAGGUGGGCGGAAUUCGUGGUGUAGCGGUGAAAGGCUUAGAUAUCACGAAGAACUCCGAUUGCGAAGGCAGCUCACUGGACUGCAACUGACACUGAGGCUCGAAAGUGUGGGUAUCAAACAGGAUUAGAUACCCGUGUAGUC